CGACAGGGCCAAGGUCAGGGUACACUAUCUAGACAACAACACGACAGGGCCAAGGUCAGGGUACACUAUCUAGACAACAACACGACAGGACCAAGGUCAGGGUACACUAUCUAGACAACAUGACAGGGCCAAGGUCAGGGUACACUAUCUAGACAACAACACGACAGGACCAAGGUCAGGGUACACUAUCUAGACAACAACACGACAGGGCCAAGGUCAGGGUACACUAUCUAGACAACAACACGACAGGGCCAAGGUCAGGGUACACUAUCUAGACAACAACACGACAGGGCCAAGGUCAGGGUACACUAUCUAGACAACAACACGACAGGACCAAGGUCAGGGUACACUAUCUAGACAACAACAGGGCCAAGGUCAGGGUACACUAUCUAGACAACAACACGACAGGACCAAGGUCAGGGUACACUAUCUAGACAACAACAGGGCCAAGGUCAGGGUACACUAUCUAGACAACAACAUGACAGGACCAAGGUCAGGGUACACUAUCUAGACAACAACAUGACAGGACCAAGGUCAGGGUACACUAUCUAGACAACAACAGGGCCAAGGUCAGGGUACACUAUCUAGACAACAACACGACAGGGCCAAGGUCAGGGUACACUAUCUAGACAACAACAUGACAGGGCCAAGGUCAGGGUACACUAUCUAGACAACAACAGGGCCAAGGUCAGGGUACACUAUCUAGACAACAACAUGACAGGACCAAGGUCAGGGUACACUAUCUAGACAACAACAGGGCCAAGGUCAGGGUACACUAUCUAGACAACAACAUGACAGGACCAAGGUCAGGGUACACUAUCUAGACAACAACAGGGCCAAGGUCAGGGUACACUAUCUAGACAACAACAGGACCAAGGUCAGGGUACACUAUCUAGACAACAACAUGAACAAGGUCAGGGUACACUAUCUAGACAACAACAUGAACAAGGUCAGGGUACACUAUCUAGAUAACAACAGGACCAAGGUCAGGGUACACUAUCUAGAUAACAACAGGACCAAGGUCAGG